UGGAAGUAAAAGUCGUAACAAGGUCUCCGUUGGUGAACCAGCGGAGGGAUCAUUACCGAGUUAUCAACUCCCAAACCCCUGUGAACAUACCCAACGUUGCUUCGGCGGGACCGCCCCGGCGCCCUCGGCGUCCCGGAACCAGGCGCCCGCCGGAGGACCCAAACUCUUGUUUAAACCAUAGUGGCAUAUUCUGAGUCUCACAAGAAAAAUGAAUCAAAACUUUCAACAACGGAUCUCUUGGCUCUGGCAUCGAUGAAGAACGCAGCGAAAUGCGAUAAGUAAUGUGAAUUGCAGAAUUCAGUGAAUCAUCGAAUCUUUGAACGCACAUUGCGCCCGCCAGUAUUCUGGCGGGCAUGCCUGUUCGAGCGUCAUUUCAACCCUCAAGCCCCAGCCGGCUUGGUGUUGGGGACCGGCCCCGGCCGCCCCCCAAAUGCAGUGGCGACCUCGCCGCAGCCUCCCCUGCGUAGUAGCACAACCUCGCACCGGAGCGCGGAGACGGUCACGCCGUAAAACGCCCAACUUCUCAGAGUUGACCUCGGAUCAGGUAGGAAUACCCGCUGAACUUAAGCAUAUCAAUAAG
rnacentral:misc_RNA from 1 species